GAAUAUUGCACAAUGGGCGCAAGCCUGAUGCAGCAACGCCGCGUGAGGGACGAAGGCCUUCGGGUUGUAAACCUCUUUUAGUAGGGAAGAAGCGACUGGGUUUUCCUGGGAGUGACGGUACCUGCAGAAAAAGCACCGGCUAACUACGUGCCAGCAGCCGCGGUAAUACGUAGGGUGCAAGCGUUGUCCGGAAUUAUUGGGCGUAAAGAGCUCGUAGGCGGUUUGUCGCGUCUGCUGUGAAAACCCGAGGCUCAACCUCGGGCCUGCAGUGGGUACGGGCAGACUAGAGUGCGGUAGGGGAGAUUGGAAUUCCUGGUGUAGCGGUGGAAUGCGCAGAUAUCUGGAGGAACACCAAUGGCGAAGGCAGAUCUCUGGGCCGUAACUGACGCUGAGGAGCGAAAGCAUGGGGAGCGAACAGGAUUAGAUACCCUGGUAGUCCAUGCCGUAAACGUUGGGAACUAUAUGUGGGGACCAUUCCCACUGUCUCCGUGUCGCAGCUAACGCAUUAAGUUCCCCGCCUGGGGAGUACGCCCGCAAGGCUAAAACUCAAAGGAAUUGACGGGGGCCCGCACAAGCGGCGGAGCAUGCGGAUUAAUUCGAUGCAACGCGAAGAACCUUACCAAGGCUUGACAUAUACCGGAAAUGGCUGGAAACAGUCGCCCCGCAAGGUCGGUAUACAGGUGGUGCAUGGUUGUCGUCAGCUCGUGUCGUGAGAUGUUGGGUUAAGUCCCGCAACAAGCGCAACCCUCUUCCUAUGUUGCCAGCACGUAAUGGUGGGAACUCAUGGGAUACUGCCGGGGUCAACUCGGAGGAAGGUGGGGAUGACGUCAAAUCAUCAUGCCCCUUAUGUCUUGCGCUUCACGCAUGCUACAAUGGCCGGUACAAAGGGCUGCGAUACCGCAAGGUGGAGCGAAUCCCAAAAAGCCGGUCUCAGUUCGGAUUGAGGUCUGCAACUCGACCUCAUGAAGUCGGAGUCGCUAGUAAUCGCAGAUCAGCAACGCUGCGGUGAAUACGUUCCCGGGCCUU
rnacentral:rRNA from 1 species